AACGCGAAGAACCUUACCUGGGCUCGAAAUGUUAUGGACCGGGGUAGAAAUAUCCCUUCCCCGCAAGGGGCCGUAAUAUAGGUGCUGCAUGGCUGUCGUCAGCUCGUGUCGUGAGAUGUUGGGUUAAGUCCCGCAACGAGCGCAACCCUUAUCUUCAGUUGCUACCAUUUAGUUGAGCACUCUGACGAAACCGCCUCGGAUAACGGGGAGGAAGGUGGGGAUGACGUCAAGUCCUCAUGGCCUUUAUGUCCAGGGCUACACACGUGCUACAAUGGUCGGUACAAACCGUCGCAAACCCGUGAGGGGGAGCUAAUCGGAAAAAGCCGACCUCAGUUCGGAUUGUAGUCUGCAACUCGACUACAUGAAGCUGGAAUCGCUAGUAAUCGCGGAUCAGAAUGCCGCGGUGAAUACGUUCCCGGGCCUUGUACACACCGCUAGUC
rnacentral:rRNA from 1 species